rnacentral:rRNA from 1 species
UACGUAGGGCGCGAGCGUUGUCCGGAAUUAUUGGGCGUAAAGAGCUCGUAGGCGGCCGGUUGCGUCUGCUGUGAAAUCCCGGGGCUUAACCCCGGGCGUGCAGUGGAUACGGGCCGGCUGGAGGCAGGCAGGGGAGAAUGGAAUUCCCGGUGUAGCGGUGAAAUGCGCAGAUAUCAGGAGGAACACCCGUGGCGAAAGCGGCUCUCUGGGACGGUACUGACGCUGAGACGCGAAAGCGUGGGGAGCAAACAGG